rnacentral:rRNA from 1 species
AACGCUAGCUACAGGCUUAACACAUGCAAGUCGAGGGGAAACGACAUCGAAAGCUUGCUUUUGAUGGGCGUCGACCGGCGCACGGGUGAGUAACGCGUAUCCAACCUGCCCAUCACUUGGGGAUAACCUUGCGAAAGUAAGACUAAUACCCAAUGAUAUCUCUAGAAGACAUCUGAAAGAGAUUAAAGAUUUAUCGGUGAUGGAUGGGGAUGCGUCUGAUUAGCUUGUUGGCGGGGUAACGGCCCACCAAGGCGACGAUCAGUAGGGGUUCUGAGAGGAAGGUCCCCCACAUUGGAACUGAGACACGGUCCAAACUCCUACGGGAGGCAGCAGUGAGGAAUAUUGGUCAAUGGACGAGAGUCUGAACCAGCCAAGUAGCGUGCAGGAUGACGGCCCUAUGGGUUGUAAACUGCUUUUAUAAGGGAAUAAAGUGAGUCUCGUGAGACUUUUUGCAUGUACCUUAUGAAUAAGGACCGGCUAAUUCCGUGCCAGCAGCCGCGGUAAUACGGAAGGUCCGGGCGUUAUCCGGAUUUAUUGGGUUUAAAGGGAGCGUAGGCCGGAGAUUAAGCGUGUUGUGAAAUGUAGAUGCUCAACAUCUGAACUGCAGCGCGAACUGGUUUCCUUGAGUACGCACAAAGUGGGCGGAAUUCGUGGUGUAGCGGUGAAAUGCUUAGAUAUCACGAAGAACUCCGAUUG